UGUCUGGGAAACUGCCUGAUGGAGGGGGAUAACUACUGGAAACGGUGGCUAAUACCGCAUAACGUCGCAAGACCAAAGAGGGGGACCUUCGGGCCUCUUGCCAUCAGAUGUGCCCAGAUGGGAUUAGCUUGUUGGUGAGGUAACGGCUCACCAAGGCGACGAUCCCUAGCUGGUCUGAGAGGAUGACCAGCCACACUGGAACUGAGACACGGUCCAGACUCCUACGGGAGGCAGCAGUGGGGAAUAUUGCACAAUGGGCGCAAGCCUGAUGCAGCCAUGCCGCGUGUAUGAAGAAGGCCUUCGGGUUGUAAAGUACUUUCAGCGGGGAGGAAGGUGUUGUGGUUAAUAACCGCAGCAAUUGACGUUACCCGCAGAAGAAGCACCGGCUAACUCCGUGCCAGCAGCCGCGGUAAUACGGAGGGUGCAAGCGUUAAUCGGAAUUACUGGGCGUAAAGCGCACGCAGGCGGUCUGUCAAGUCGGAUGUGAAAUCCCCGGGCUCAACCUGGGAACUGCAUUCGAAACUGGCAGGCUUGAGUCUUGUAGAGGGGGGUAGAAUUCCAGGUGUAGCGGUGAAAUGCGUAGAGAUCUGGAGGAAUACCGGUGGCGAAGGCGGCCCCCUGGACAAAGACUGACGCUCAGGUGCGAAAGCGUGGGGAGCAAACAGGAUUAGAUACCCUGGUAGUCCACGCCGUAAACGAUGUCUACUUGGAGGCUGUGCCCUUGAGGCGUGGCUUCCGGAGCUAACGCGUUAAGUAGACCGCCUGGGGAGUACGGCCGCAAGGUUAAAACUCAAAUGAAUUGACGGGGGCCCGCACAAGCGGUGGAGCAUGUGGUUUAAUUCGAUGCAACGCGAAGAACCUUACCUGGUCUUGACAUCCACAGAAGUUUGCAGAGAUGCGAAUGUGCCUUCGGGAACUGUGAGACAGGUGCUGCAUGGCUGUCGUCAGCUCGUGUUGUGAAAUGUUGGGUUAAGUCCCGCAACGAGCGCAACCCUUAUCCUUUGUUGCCAGCGGUUAGG
rnacentral:rRNA from 1 species